rnacentral:rRNA from 1 species
GAUGAACGCUGACAGAAUGCUUAACACAUGCAAGUCUACCAAGAAUCACUUCGGUGAGGAAUGGUGGCGGACGGGUGAGUAACGCGUAAAUAAUCUGCCCUUUAGACUGGGAUAUCCUUUGGAAACGAAGGUUAAUACCGGAUAUUAUGAGAUGGACGCAUGUUCAACUUAUGAAAGCUAAAUGCAAUAGAGGAGGAGUUUGCGUCCCAUUAGCUAGUUGGUGAGGUAAAGGCUCACCAAGGCCACGAUAGGUAGCCGGCCUGAGAGGGUGAACAGCCACAAGGGAACCGGGAAACGGUCCUUAAUCCGACGGGAGGCAGCAGUAGGGAAGAUUGGACAAUGGACCAAAAGUCGGAUCCAGCAAUUCUGUGUGCACGAUGAAGGUCUUCGGAUUGUAAAGUGCUUUCAGUAGGGAAGAAAAAAAUGACGGUACCUACAGAAGAAGCGACGGCUAAAUAUGUGCCAGCAGCCGCAGUAAAAC